CACUGACAUGGUACAGCGAUUGUCAUGAAAUGAUGCUCCAGGGAACCCGAAGAGCACCAAUAGAGAACAAACUGGAUUUCAGCUCCAUGAAGAUUUCUUGAAAGUGGUCACCCACAAUGAAUUGCAGUCUAUGGCAACAAUGACAAUGGAAGGAGUCUCUUCAAAGGGAGGCGCAGAAAAGAAAUUGAGUGGCAAGUAGCUUGGAACAGCAGAAUACCCUGGGGAAUCUAGCUCUAGCUACGCGAGCAGAAAAUAGAGGAGACAUAAAAGAUAGUGAACAAAGAAGCAACAGGAAGGAAGGGGCAAGCUCAAAGACUGUGAUGUGUGGAAAAAUCUCCUCAUUGACUUGGUAUUGAAGAAGCAUCGAAGGCUGGAAUUUUCUUAUAUAGG